rnacentral:lncRNA from 1 species
GAGAAAUACAUAUAUUUUUAAGCUCGGGGAAUUAGAAGGGGAAAAUACUAUUUUACAACCACCAUCUGUCCAAAAUUAAAAUGCAGGCUGGAUGACACGAAGCUAGGUAUCAGCAAAAAGUAAAUAUUGGGUAUGGUCAGGAAAGAGCAUAAAAGCAGAUGUGGUAUAAAAAGUUAGACCUUUUACUUCAAAAAAUAUUAAGUGACUAGUUCUUUAGCGCUGGGGGAGUCUCCCUUAAUUAUGUAAAAAGUGUAGAGAAGGGGGCAGGAUUCUUUACCUUUGAAUACUAAAUUAGGAAACAGCAGCAUCAAAGGCAGGAUGGCUGUGUUUUGCCUGAAAAAUUAAUAGGCUUUACAAGUCCUCUGCAGGAGUCUCGAAUGGCAAAAAAAGAGGCUCUGGUGACACCAACAGUCCCGGGAACAAAGUGCAGCCCUGACGGAGGGACGUGGGGUUGGACGUGGGUUUUUGUUGUUGGGUUUGAGGAAAGCGGGGUGUUUGGUUUUCUCUCACCAAAAUCUAUCAAACCUCUAGCCGAAACUCUAGGGAGGACCUGUCCUUCACGAUGCCUCCUCUCCCCCAGCUUCCCGGGCCUCUUCUCUUCUCUCCACCGCCCCCGCGACCACAACGCACAGUGCACACUGCCUGCCGCAAGGGGCCCGGAGGCCUGGCCGCCCAACUCCGCAGCAGUUUCAAAGGGCAGAGUUGAAAGGGGCAAGAUGCGGGGAAGGGAGGGAAACCGUCAAGUCAGCGCCUCCCUGGCUUCGGGUGUCCCCUGGUUUUCUCUCCCUUCUCGCCUCCCGCCAGCGCCAGCGGAGGCGGGUAGGGGCGCGCUGCAGAGCGGCACUUUCUGGGCGCCUGCGAGGACUUGUUUCCCAUGGGAGGUGCUCAUUAUUAUGGGUAAACACAACACUCAGAGAGACGCCACACUUCACCUCCGGAGCCAGCCGCUGCGUAAGCUGCCGGUGCUGGAAGGAGAGGGUGAGCGGGGUGACGGCACAAUGGCUGUCCCCCGGUGUCAGCCCCUGCUGGAAAGCGUGAGCUCGGCUGCAGAGAGGGGCGCGCGGCAGCCUUUGGCCUUGGGCGUCACGCCCGCACCCAGCUUUGCCUGCUCUAGCAGCCGAUGA